UACAGAGGUCUCAAGCGUUGUUCGGAUUCAUUGGGCGUAAAGGGUGCGUAGGUGGCGCCGUAAGUCGGGUGUGAAAUUUCGGAGCUUAACUCCGAAACUGCAUUCGAUACUGCGGUGCUUGAGGACUGGAGAGGAGACUGGAAUUCAUGGUGUAGCAGUGAAAUGCGUAGAGAUCAUGAGGAAGACCAGUGGCGAAGGCGGGUCUCUGGACAGUUCCUGACACUGAGGCACGGAGGCCAGGGGAGCAAACGGG
rnacentral:rRNA from 1 species